rnacentral:rRNA from 1 species
AACGAACACUGGCGGCAGGCUUAACACAUGCAAGUCGAGCGCCCCGCAAGGGGAGCGGCAGACGGGUGAGUAACGCGUGGGAACGUACCUUUUGGUUCGGAACAACUCCGGGAAACUGGAGCUAAUACCGGAUAAGCCCUAACGGGGAAAGAUUUAUCGCCGAAAGAUCGGCCCGCGUCUGAUUAGCUAGUUGGUGAGGUAACGGCUCACCAAGGCGACGAUCAGUAGCCGGUCUGAGAGGAUGAUCAGCCACACUGGGACUGAGACACGGCCCAGACUCCUACGGGAGGCAGCAGUGGGGAAUAUUGGACAAUGGGCGCAAGCCUGAUCCAGCCAUGCCGCGUGAGUGAUGAAGGCCUUAGGGUUGUAAAGCUCUUUUGUCCGGGAAGAUAAUGACUGUACCGGAAGAAUAAGCCCCGGCUAACUUCGUG